rnacentral:rRNA from 1 species
UGAUUGAUACCCUGCUUCCAAGAAAAGCCUCUAAGCUUCAGUUAUCCAGAGACCGUACCGCAAACCGACACAGGUGGGCAGGAUGAAAAUUCUCAGGCGCUUGAGAGAACUCAGGAGAAGGAACUCGGCAAAUUUGCACCGUAACUUCGGGAGAAGGUGCGCCCUGAUAGGUUGUAGCCCCUCGCGGGUGAAGGCUGAAAGGGUUGCAGUGAACUGGUGGCUGCGACUGUUUGAUAAAAACACAGCACUCUGCAAACACGAAAGUGGACGUAUAGGGUGUGACGCCUGCCCGGUGCCGGAAGGUUAAGUGAUGGGGUGCAAGCUCUUGAUCGAAGCCCCGGUAAACGGCGGCCGUAACAAUAACGGUCCUAAGGUAGCGAAAUUCCUUGUCGGGUAAGUUCCGACCUGCACGAAUGGCGUAACGAUGGCCACACUGUCUCCUCCUGAGACUCAGCGAAGUUGAAAUGGUUGUGAAGAUGCAAUCUCCCCGCGGUUAGACGGAAAGACCCCAUGAACCUUUACUGUAGCUUUGCAUUGGACUUUGAACCGACUUGUGUAGGAUAGGUGGGAGGCUGUGAAACCGGGACGCUAGUCCGGGUGGAGCCAACCUUGAAAUACCACCCUGGUUUGUUUGAGGUUCUAACCACGGCCCGUGAAUCCGGGUCUGGGACCGUGCAUGGUAGGCAGUUUGACUGGGGCGGUCUCCUCCUAAAGUGUAACGGAGGAGUACGAAGGUACGCUAGGUACGGUCGGACAUCGUGCUAAUAGUGCAAUGGCAAAAGCGUGCUUGACUGCGAGACCCACACGUCGAGCAGGUACGAAAGUAGGUCAUAGUGAUCCGGUGGUUCUGUAUGGAAGGGCCAUCGCUCAACGGAUAAAAGGUACUCUGGGGAUAACAGGCUAAUACCGCCCAAGAGUUCAUAUCGACGGCGGUGUUUGGCACCUCGAUGUCGGCUCAUCACAUCCUGGGGCUGUAGUCGGUCCCAAGGGUAUGGCUGUUCGCCAUUUAAAGUGGUACGUGAGCUGGGUUUAAAACGUCGUGAGACAGUUUGGUCCCUAUCUGCCGUGGGCGCUGGAAAUUUGAAGGGGGCUGCUCCUAGUACGAGAGGACCGGAGUGGACGAACCUCUGGUGUACCGGUUAUGACGCCAGUCGUAUCGCCGGGUGGCUAUGUUCGGAAGAGAUAAACGCUGAAAGCAUCUAAGCGUGAAACUCGCCUUAAGAUGAGAUUUCCCCGGGGACUUGAUCCCCCUGAAGGGUCGUGGUAGACCACCACGUUGAUAGGCUGGGUGUGGAAGCGCAGCAAUGCGUUCAGCUAACCAGUACUAAUUGCCCGUGGGGCUUGAUC